UACGGGGGGAGCAAGCGUUGUUCGGAUUUACUGGGCGUAAAGGGCGCGUAGGCGGCCACCGCAAGUCGAUUGUGAAAUCUCCGGGCUUAACUCGGAACGGUCAAGUGAUACUGUCGGACUAGAGUACAGAAGGGGCAACUGGAAUUCUCGGUGUAGCGGUGAAAUGCGUAGAUAUCGAGAGGAACACCUGCGGCGAAGGCGGGUUGCUGGGCUGAUACUGACGCUGAGGCGCGAAAGCCAGGGGAGCGAACGGG
rnacentral:rRNA from 1 species